rnacentral:rRNA from 1 species
UAUCUGGGUUGUCAAACUUGGGUAAUCUUGUCAAUCGUUAUCGUGAUGGGGAUUGAUCGUUGUAAUUGUCGAUCAUGAAAGAGGAAUCCCUAGUAUGUGCACUUCAUUAGAGUGUACAGAUUAAGUCCCUGCCCUUUGUACACACCGCCCGUCGCUACUACCGAGUGAAUGGUGUCAUGAUGCUUUGGGACUGGACGUCGUUCGCUUUUAACGAGGCGAAAUGAUGCUGGGAUCAAUGUAAAAUGGCGCAAUUUCGAGGAAGUAAAAGUCGUAACAAGGUUUCCGUAGGUGAACCUGCGGAAGGAUCAUUGAUAUUUCAAACCCAUACCAACAACGUUGGAAAUGGUAGUAGUGUGAAUGGCAGAUUCAACAAUUGUGUCCCUCACUGUAGGUGAAAGUUAUCGCUGGCAUGUUCGUGUAAAAAUACCUACAGUGAUUGUUGUAAUCUUUAAAAGUCGAUAGCUUUCAAAAAAACUAAUCGUCAAAGUAGUAAACUUGUCAUGACUUUACCUAUGACAGUCUGUGUUAAUGUGGAUACACUACUGUCGGUACUGGAAUCAUUUAUUAUUUUGGCGUUUGUAAGUGUUGUCAUAGCGGUUGUUUGGGGUUCUCGAGUAACACCAGUGUGUGUAAAAGAGACUGCGGAAAUAUAUAAACGAGUAAAUGUAACACAACCAUUAACGGUGGAUCACUCGGCUCGAGGAACGAUGAAGAACGUGGCAAAAUGCGAUAAUUGAUGCGAAUUGCAUGCCUAGUGAGUCAUCAAGUUUUUGAACGCAAAUGGCGCCUUUGAUAACUUCAAGGGCAUGUCUGGUUGAGGGUUGUUUUUAUGAAAACUCAAGUAGUUGUUGUACUAACUUGUAGUAGUGUGCAUUCAUUCGGGAUAAUGCAUCUGACAUGGCGUUGAAAUAUGGUCGAUAUGUUUCUUUGCUAAAGUAAAUGGUUAGAUGUGUAACAGUGUGUUGUGUAUAACUUGUAGAUAUGUGUAGAGUUUGAUUGAGAAACGUAGUGAACUAUGUGUAUAUAUCUGUUGUACAGCUGUUGACCAUCAUUUGUUGAUUGCAACCUCAACUCAGGCAAGGUUACGCCGUGAACUAAAGCAUUUCAGUAACGGCAGGAAGAGAAAACAACAGUGAUUCCCUUAGUAACUGCGAGUGAAGCGGGAAUAGCCCAACGUUGAAAGCUACAUCUCUAGCGGGAUGUCGCAUUGUAGCGUAUAGAGUUGACAUCGAGGUUGCCGUUCAUGUUAAAGUUGUUUAGAAUAACACACCAUAGAGGGUGAUAGUCCCGUGUGUGACAUGAUACUGUGCAGUCGAGUUUGUCAAACUCCAAGAGUCGGAUUGUUUGGGAAUGCAGUCUGAAGUGGGUGGUAAACUCCAUCUAAGGCUAAAUAUAUCCUCGAGACCGAUAGCGAACAAGUACCGUGAGGGAAAGUUGAAAAGUACUCUGAAAAGAGUGUGAAAAGUACGUGAAACCGUUAAUGGGGAAGCGGACUGUAGAAUCGAAGUGGUGCAGCGUAUGGGACAAUUUUAAUGAAUAGCAUGUCAUCUUACUUGUUUCUUAGCGUUACAUCACGCGCUGGGCUCACUGUUUUACGGGACUGGCAUGAUGUUUAGCUAUGAGUGAUGGGUACUUUCGGGUGCAGGCUCUUGUUGUGAACGUUAAUGUUAUAGAGUUCCAUGAUAGUGAUGGUUGUGAUUUGGUGAUCUUGUUCUCCAAGGCAUUGGGUCAAUAACUUGGUUUCCUCAUUUUAUGUUGCUGUGGGAUUCCACGGUAGCAUAAGGGUUACUGUUGUUGGUUGAUUGUCUUGGUUUAUAGGUUUGUCAAAGUGGCUAUGGUCGCACACAUACUCCCAGCGAGAUAUGCUGCUGUCCGACCCGUCUUGAAACACGGACCAAGGAGGCUAACGUAUGCGCGAGUCGAGGAGUAGAGAAACUCUUGGGCGUAACGAAAGUGAUUUGCGUGAGAUCCAAUGURUUCAUGUUGGAGCAUCACAAGCCGGUGGGAAAAUUGACUACCAUCGAGUUUUAGCGUAUUCGAUAGGACCCGAAAGAUGGUGAACUAUUCCUGAGUAGAGAGAAACCAUUGGAAACAAUGGCGGAUGCUCGUAGCGAUUCUGACGUGCAAAUCGAUCGUCAAACUUGGGUAUAGGGGCGAAAGACUAAUCGAACCAUCUAGUAGCUGGUUCCCUCCGAAAUAUCCCUCAGGAUCGCCGAAACUUGUAAUCACAGUUUCAUCGGGUAGAGCGAAUGAUUAGAGGAAUUGGGGUCAAUUUUGGCCUCGACCUAUUCUCAAACUGCAAACCGGUGAUAACGGUUAGGCUGGGAGCUUCUUUGUUGAGCACCCCCAGUAGUGUGUGAAUGUGAAAGUUUCGAGUGGGCCAUUUUUGGUAAGCAGAACUGGCGAUGCGGGAUGAACCGAGAGUUGAGUUAAAGUGCCAGAGUGGGGGCAAAUGGACACCACAAAAGGAGUUGGUAAGUGAAGACAGUAGGACGGUGGCCCUGCAAGUAGGCACCCGCUAAGGAUCGUGCUACAACGCACCUACCGAAUUUACUGGCCCUGAAAAUGGAUGGCGCUUUAGCCCCCCACUGAUACUCAACCGUAGACGCGAGAAAUGAGUCGUCUAUGGGUAGGAGGGUGCUAUGGUUGCUACGAAGACUGUAUGUGAAUACAGUUGGAGCAGCCAUAGGUACAGAUCUUGGUUUUAGUAGCAGCGCAUAGAAGUGAGAACCUUCUAGGCCGAAGUGGAGAAGG